AUGGGAAGAGCGGAGCUGGCAGGUGUAGGCAAAGGCUCGAGGUCGUCGUGGCCGGAGGCGGUGGGGCUGCCUGUGGCCACGGCGGCGCUCCUGAUCAACGGGGACAGGCCCGAUGUUGCGGUGGCGGUAGCUGAGGGACCAAUCAGGCGGCCAGGGGAGCCCGACCCUAAGCGCGUCAUUCUGGUGUCCGACGGCGCCGGUGUCAUCGUCAAGACCCCCGUCGUCGGCUAA
rnacentral:rRNA from 1 species